CACUCUAAGGAGACUGCCGGUGCAAACCGGAGGAAGUGGGGAUGACGUCAAGUCAUCAUGGCCCUUACGGCCUGGGCUACACACGUGCUACAAUGGUCGGUACAAAGGGUUGCCAAGCCGCGAGGUGGAGCUAAUCCCAUAAAACCGAAUCGUAGUCCGGAUCGCAGUCUGCAACUCGACUGCGUGAAGUCGGAAUCGCUAGUAAUCGUGAAUCAGAAUGUCACGGUGAAUACGUUCCCGGGCCUU
rnacentral:rRNA from 1 species